UUUCAAAAUCGCUAUUCUAUUUGGCAAAUUAAUCAAAAAAUCCAUUCCGUCAAACCACAAAAUUCAAGCAAUAUUUUACAUCAAUUAAAUAUUCAAUACAGGACACUGCAAAGGCGAGCGACCGAUGGAGGGAUGAAAAUUUCUGUUAAAUACUAAACAAAUACAACAAGCUGUAUUAGCUUCAAGAUUGUUAAGUCGUGUGAUGUUACGGUGGCGCCGCCUGGUACUGCUAUUGGUGCUGGUAGCCGCGUGGACGCUGCAGGUCGCCGCCUGCCGCACUAGGAAGCUCACGUGCGAUUCUAACAAUCCGCCGUGUAAACAAACAUAAUAUUGCCACUGGCAAUGGAAACAGAAUUCUUACAAGAGGUGGUGGUAUUAUUGGUAACUCUGUUGCUGUCCUACUUGGAGAGCUGCUUCGGCUGCACGCGGCACGACUACGUCACCUGUCACGACAACAUUCCCAAGUGUGACCAAAAGUAGUGACCAAAAGGCGAGGACUAUACCGAAGUUUCUCCCAGCGGUAUUCCCAUAAGAUUAAAAUGGCGUUCCUGAACGAGUUCGUGCUUGUGUUCCUGCACAUCGCAAUUUCCCUAUUUGAUCUUACAUAUGGCUGCAAGCGGCGCACGCGCACGUGCCGACCGUGCGGCUCACUCAAUUGCACCAAUCAACGCAGGGACUCAUCUUCUAAGAUACGGAUAUACAUUAGCAAGCCAAAGACAGGAUAAACGAUAAACUUCGAUAUGUUCUAUGAAAUCCUCCUGGUGUUUCUGCACGUAUGCGCGUGGGUAAUGGAAGUGCUCGGGUGCAAGAGAAGCCAGCGUCGAUGUUCCGACUACUGUCUGCCCUGCACUUACAAGGGACCCAUUAUAGAGGUCAUUUAUCCAAAACAGAAAAAAUGAUGCAUUACUGUUAAGGGAAACAGGAAUCCAUCAUUUUAUAUUUUACAUGGAAAUAGUAAUGCUACAAUGCGAUGCUUACGGCUACACGACGACAUCGUAUACCAGGACCGACGGCCACCGCGCACCGUUCUUAUCUACGAUAAUCUCCGAUGCAAUAAACAAUUUUUUUUUUUAAAUUUUGUUUCUCUUACAUGGCAAUAUUAAACAGUAGAAUCUACUGCACACAUUGUUUUCUUUCACUAACUUCAAUUAGACUAACAAUAAAUAAAAAUUGCCGUAUGGUCCCGGCAUAG